rnacentral:rRNA from 1 species
GGGAAAAUGGGGCAGCUAUACAUGCAGUCGAACGAACUCUGGUAUUGAUUGGUGCUUGGAUCAUGAUUUACAUUUGAGUGAGUGGCGAACUGGUGAGUAACACGUGGGAAACCUGCCCAGAAGCGGGGGAUAACACCUGGAAACAGAUGCUAAUACCGCAUAACAACUUGGACCGCAUGGUCCGAGUUUGAAAGAUGGCUUCGGCUAUCACUUUUGGAUGGUCCCGCGGCGUAUUAACUAGAUGGUGGGGUAACGGCUCACCAUGGCAAUGAUACGUAACCGACCUGAAAGGGUAAUCGGCCACAUUGGGACUGAGACACGGCCCAAACUCCUACGGGAGGCAGCAGUAGGGAAUCUUCCACAAUGGACGAAAGUCUGAUGGAGCAACGCCGCGUGAGUGAAAAAGGGUUUCGGCUCGUAAAACUCUGUUGUUAAAGAAGAACAUAUCUGAGAGUAACUGUUCAGGUAUUGACGGUAUUUAACCAAAAAGCCACGGCUAACUACGUGCCAGCAGCCGCGGUAAUACGUAGGUGGCAAGCGUUGUCCGGAUUUAUUGGGCGUAAACCCAGCUCAGGCGGUUUUUUUAUCCCUAAGUGACAGCCUUCCCCCCAACCAAAAAAAAAAGCCUCAUACCUAGU